GACGAACGCUGGCGGCGUGCUUAACACAUGCAAGUCGAACGGAAAGGCCCUGCUGGCAGGGUGCUCGAGUGGCGAACGGGUGAGUAACACGUGGGUGAUCUGCCCCUUACUUUGGGAUAAGCCCGGGAAACUGGGUCUAAUACUGGAUAGGACCAUGCUGUAGGUGGUGUGGUGGAAAGAUUAGUUUCGGUAAGGGAUGAGCUCGCGGCCUAUCAGCUUGUUGGUGGGGUAAUGGCCUACCAAGGCGUCGACGGGUAGCCGGCCUGAGAGGGUGGACGGCCAAAUUGGGCCUGAGUUACGGACCAGACUCCUAAGGGAGGCAGCAGUGGGGAGUAUUGCACAAUGGGCGCAAGCCUGAUGCAGCGACGCCGCGUGGGGGAUGAAGGCCUUCGGGUUGUAAACUCCUUUCAGCCAUGACGAAGCCCUUGUGGUGACGGUAGUGGUAGAAGAAGCACGGGCUAACUACGUG
rnacentral:rRNA from 1 species